rnacentral:rRNA from 13 species
UCUGGUGAUGAUGGCGAAGAGGUCACACCCGUUCCCAUACCGAACACGGAAGUUAAGCUCUUCAGCGCCGAUGGUAGUUGGGGGUCUCCCCCUGUGAGAGUAGGACAUCGCCAGGC